rnacentral:rRNA from 1 species
UAGUUAGAGCCCGUUAAUGGGUGAUAGCGUGCCUUUUGUAGAAUGAACCGGCGAGUUACGAUUUGUUGCAAGGUUAAGCGGAAAAAGCGGAGCCGUAGCGAAAGCGAGUCUGAAUAGGGCGCAUAAGUAACAGGUCGUAGACCCGAAACCAGGUGAUCUACCCAUGUCCAGGAUGAAGGUAAGGUAAUACUUACUGGAGGUCCGAACCCACGCACGUUGAAAAGUGCGGGGAUGAGGUGUGGGUAGCGGAGAAAUUCCAAUCGAACUUGGAGAUAGCUGGUUCUCUCCGAAAUAGCUUUAGGGCUAGCCUCGAGGUAAAGAGUCAUGGAGGUAGAGCACUGUUUGGACUAGGGGCCCUUCUCGGGUUACCGAAUUCAGAUAAACUCCGAAUGCCAUGUACUUAUACUCGGGAGUCAGACUGCGAGUGAUAAGAUCCGUAGUCGAAAGGGAAACAGCCCAGACCACCAGUUAAGGUCCCCAAAUAUAUGUUAAGUGGAAAAGGAUGUGGGGUUGCUUAGACAACCAGGAUGUUGGCUUAGAAGCAGCCACCAUUGAAAGAGUGCGUAAUAGCUCACUGGUCGAGUGACCCCGCGCCGAAAAUGUACCGGGGCUAAACAUAUUACCGAAACUGUGGAUGAACCUCUUUAGAGGUUCGUGGUAGGAGAGCGUUCUAAGGGCGGUGAAGUCAGACCGGAAGGACUGGUGGAGCGCUUAGAAGUGAGAAUGCCGGUAUGAGUAGCGAAAGAAGGGUGAGAAUCCCUUCCACCGAAUAUCUAAGGUUUCCUGAGGAAGGCUCGUCCGCUC